rnacentral:rRNA from 1 species
CCUGCGGAAGGAUCAUUACUGAGUGCGGGCUGCCUCCGGGCGCCCAACCUCCCACCCGUGAAUACCUAACACUGUUGCUUCGGCGGGGAGCUCCCUCGGGGGCGAGCCGCCGGGGACUACUGAACUUCAUGCCUGAGAGUGAUGCAGUCUGAGUCUGAAUAUAAAAUCAGUCAAAACUUUCAACAAUGGAUCUCUUGGUUCCGGCAUCGAUGAAGAACGCAGCGAACUGCGAUAAGUAAUGUGAAUUGCAGAAUUCAGUGAAUCAUCGAGUCUUUGAACGCACAUUGCGCCCCCUGGCAUUCCGGGGGGCAUGCCUGUCCGAGCGUCAUUGCUGCCCAUCAAGCCCGGCUUGUGUGUUGGGUCGUCGUCCCCCCCGGGGGACGGGCCCGAAAGGCAGCGGCGGCACCGUGUCCGGUCCUCGAGCGUAUGGGGCUUUAUCACCCGCUCGACUAGGGCCGGCCGGGCGCCAGCCGACGUCUCCAACCAUUUUUCUUCAGGUGACCUC